ACGCCGCCAUCUUGGAGCGAGGCGCAGGCGCGGGGUCUCUCCCCAGCCUCACGGGAGGGGCGGGCUCAGAGCCGCUGCGCUCAUUUGGGAAGCUUGGAGCCAGGGGUGCGUCGUGGCUGCGGGGCCCGCAGCAGCAUCAGCCCGGCCCCCCCUGCCGCGGGGUCCUGCCAGGGGCAGCUGGAGGGAGGAGCUGGGUCUCCAGCUCCCUACACCCGCCCAGCUCUGCGCUAGGGCUGCCCUAGGCUGCCCCUGCCCAGGGCCCGCGCUUGGAGGUGGCAGCCCGGGGACCACCUGGGGUUCGGGAUCAGCCGGCCUGGCCUGGUUUUAUACCUCGGAGGUGGAGCCCUCGGCUGCCAGAGGGAGGCCAGGCUGCAGUUAGACCAAUUGUAAAGUUCCCUGGGGCUUGGGCCGCCUCCUUAGAUCGUCCCUCUUGGGACCCCCUCUUAGCACAGCUGAGUCCUGGUGGUUGAUUGGGGCUCCUAGGUAACCAUGAUAAAAUAAUAAGAAAUAGAGCCUUUUCUUAUACGUAUCGCUGCAUUUCUUCAUCAGCCCCAAGGCAUAGAGACAUAGAAAUGUAGGACUGUAGGUCAUCUAGUCCAGUCUCCUAUACUCAGGGCAUGACUAAGUAAACCUAGACCGUCCCUGACAGCUGGCUUGCCACAGGUGGCAGAGAAGGCAGACUGUGUUUCAAAUGGGAUGGAGACCAACAGUUAGAAGUACAACAUUGGUCCACGAAUAAUGAAGACAGGCAAAUAAGGCUUUUCAAGAGCUUCACUAGAAAUUUAACUGGCACAUAAUUUAAUGCAGGAAAGAAGAUUAUCUGUCUUCAUAACAAAGAGAAGUUGGGCAGUCUGACUGUUUUCUUUUGCUUACUUUAUAUCAUCAGAGAGCAUUUUUGACAAUAAAACUGUUAACAGUGUAGAUCAUACAGUCCCAAGGAUACAAACAAAGAGCCUGCCAAUUUGGGUAGAAGCCCAUCCUAUCUCUCUGAGUUUGGAAAUUUGACAUAUUUCUGAUUUCUCACAAUUUUGAAUUUGGAGCAGUUACCAUAUUUGUUUCUCUCAUCAAGCCGUGGUACUCAGGGGAAAAGAGAGAUAAUGUUGGAUAUUGUCUAUGUGUCACAAAAGGAGAAAUGAAAGAAGAUCUUCCAACAGACUUCUCUUAAAGCCAACAGCCAUAUAGUCUUGGGCUGUGACCUUGUCAGUACUAAGUAGAGUCAGGUCUGAUUAGUACUUGGAUGAGAGACCUCCAAAGAAAAUCUAGGAUGUUGCAAGUGAUGCUGGUAAUUCAGUAGUGGAUGCCCCUCUUUCUUUCUUAAAACUGAACCAUUAUACUAUUGUGUGUUUAGAUAGGUAAGGCAGGGGCAGAGACAGAGAGGUGGCAUUUUUUGUAUGAGACAUAAAACCAAGUUCCUGACUGUUUGUAAUCAUUAAAGAUUUCUUCACACUUUCUCAAGGAAAGGGUGUUCCUCUUCGUAUUGUACU